CCUCCUCCUUCCCGCACAGCCUGGGAAGUAAUCCUCUAUAUAUUAGUUGUUCACCCUGUACUUCCUUAAAGGCUCUUCUCUGCUCUCUGACAUUGUGUCACACAAACAAAGAAAAAUGCCUGAAGAAGUUCCUGCUCAGUGCAAGGCUCCCAAAGAUGAGCUGGACAAAUGUGUUCAGGGGAAGGGUGCAGAGGGCUGUAAGGAGCUGCUGGAAUCUUUUGAGGCCUGUGUGAAGGGGGCCACGACAACCUCGUGAGGGGACAUGCAUUUACAUGGCCAUCCUUUCUGGGUCCUCCAAUGUCCUUGCAUUCCCUCACAUUGCACUGGACUAAACCAUUCUAAGGACAGUGAAAGGGGUGCAAGUGCUGGAAAGCAGUGGAAAUGUUUCUUUUGAUCCUGGGAAGUCUUGUUGGUGUCCCUCAUGUUGUCCAUGAUAUCUGUAACUGUGGAAGAAAGAAGAACCCAGUUUUAUUAUUAUUUUCCAGAUUUCACACUGUAAAAAACACAGUGCAUUUCAUUUGAUUUUGAAUAAAUUACUAUAAUUGUU